GCCUUUAUAGUGUAACGGUUAGCACGUUUAUUUUUUAUGUAACAAGUAGGCUAAGUUUAAUUUUUAGUAGAGGUA